GCCAGUGAUAGUUCAUUUGUCACGUUUGGCCAAGGCUGGUAUGCGCCAUCAAUGCAUUCGGAGAGGGAAUGGUGUGGAUUCAAGCUGGGUGUUCGAAAAGGAGCAGGGCUUACCGACAAAGAAGAAACCGCACUAUUAACUAUAACCCCCUCAGUGAAGCACAUGAGACCGGUGACUAAGGCUGAUGUAAAUGCAAGUAAACCACCUGAUGUGUACACAAGAUACAAUGGCAUGAAGUACAAACCCAUCAGGUGUAUACAAACAAAUAAUACGUCUGGGGAUUUCAACAAGAGACAAGUGGAUGGCAAUAAUCAGAACAGUGCAGGAGCAACCUAUCCAAUGCAACGCACACAGUUCUUGGCGAACAAACACAAAGGCUUCCCUCCAGGAAUUUGUUCUGCCCCGGAUGGUGCUGGAAAUACGGCUUCAGCAAACACGGAACGUACUCGAACAACGGCUAAUAGUAGACAACAGCAAAAUGAACAUGGUCUUAUCGAAGCAAGGCCAGCCUUCUUUAAAGAAGGACAUACACUAUAUAAAGAGGCAGUAACACUUCAUAUUGACACGUU